CAAUACAAUAAAAGAAAUGGAGGUAAGGGCAUAUUUUAUGAGUUCCAUAUGGCCUGCAAUUGAGAUGAAAUGGUUGUAUCAGUAGCCUCGAGUCCACACUAAAUUUCUGGUCAAGCAUUCUAUGGUAGACAAGCGGUUCCAAGAACUUUCCGGAAAGUAUUGCAUUAAACUUCAUAAACCAAGAAGUGUGACACAUAAAUUACUGAAACUAACCAAUCUAUUUAUAUGAUUAAACACUUUAAGUUACAACAAACCAAUCUAUUUGUAUGAUUAAACACUUCAAGUUAUAUUUUAUUUACAUAAACAAGAGAUAUGCUAUACACAAUUAGGUUUAAACUGAUCAGACUAGUACAAUUGUAGAUCAUGGACUGCAAUACCUGAUGCGGAUCAUUCAUGGGUAUAGAGAAUGUGCUAUUUGAAUAGAUAGCAAACUCCUGAGGCUUUCCUGGAUAGUUAAGAGAGCUUGAGCCAAGCAAAAGAGUGCCUCUCCCUUUUAAGAUAACAAAUACCUCUUCACAGGAGUGUCUGUGGAUUGGUGUCCGUGUGCCUGGAGCAAAAGUCUGAAGCCAAAUCUCCACCUGGAAAGAACAUAAAUAUCAUGGGGAAUGAACCUAAAUAUUUUAUAUAUUUCAUAUUUUAAAGCAGAAGAUGCAAAAGCUUUAUAUAUUAAAGUAGAAUCAUGAUCGCAUCUCAAAAAAAAAUUGUUGGCAAAAAUAAAUCAUCUAGUUAACUUUGUACCCCAGAAUUCUAUACUUAGACAGACAGAUAGAGAAGUAGGACAAAUAGAGCAAAAAAAUAGAUAGGACAAGGAGAGUUCAUUAUGCUUAUGGUUAUCCUAUUUUAGGAAUAUCUUAUGAUGUCCAAAUGAUGGUUCAAAACCUAUCUUAUAAGUUGUGAUAGCCAUACAUAAAGAGCCUUUGUCAUAGGCAGAUCAAGAGAUUACUAUUUCACCUUUUAAAUAUUUCAAUUUGCCCUAUAAUUGCACUUUGCCUAUGCAAUGUAAUUAAAUAAUCUGCUACAAUCUUGAAAACAAAAUUCUACAAGGAAUUUGCAACACUUUAAUCUAUAAUCAAUCUCCUGAACCUCAACUUGAGCAUCUAGAAGAUUGUAUCAGACAAAUACUGCAUGUUCUUUGCAACAUGUUUUGCCAAACUUAACCAUUAAGAAAGACAAGAAAAAUGAUUACUAGCAACAGGCAACAGGUGUUUCAUCACUAAAAUAGGUUAAUAACAACAACUCAUCGAGAAAUUUAACAACAAGAUUGAAUAAUGAAGUUGACCAUUGAACUCCACAGUUUACCUCUUUCAUUCCAUGUGAAAGAGCACCUGCAAUGGUUAUGUGUGCCAAACCCCCUCUCCCAAAGUUACUUUGAGGCAUAUCACCUAUAUUUCUGACCAAUGAGGAACCUAGCAUAGGAAAAAUAGGGAGCAAUCCACAUUAAAGACAAACAAUAAUAAUAAUAAUAAUGGACAACAAAAUCAAAUUUUAUUCAACUCUAGAAUGAAUAUAAUUUGGCAAGGAACAUUCUAGUAUUAAUUGGAUUAAGCCAUUAAGUUCGAUAACUGAUGCCCUUUUGCAUCUAUGCAUUACACAGAGAUCCAAAGAGGAGAGAGUCCUAUCAGUUUAGAUAAAACUCUAGUACUAUUAAAAGGAGUAUACAAAUGGGGGCAAAUUAAAGAUUUAUAAUUAUAUUCAAGCAAUAUGAGGAAAGGGCUGCUAGUUCAAGUAAUUGAGGUAAGAUGGGUGUGGCUGUAGUUUUGGCUCUAUCCCAAGAUUUUCACACUUCUUGUAAAAGAGUCACUAGAUGAUAUAGUGGAUUUCUUAGUUUUCGUUCUUUGCAUUAUGUAAUUUAGUGAGACAAUAUCAUUUGUGAAUACAACACUAAAAGAAGACAAUAGAAUUAAGUUUUGGAGAGUCCAAAAUAUGGUUCAGCUGUAAUUGUAUGUAAGGAAAGCAAAUUUAGACACCACAAGGAAAUUGAGGUACCAGUCAAUAGCAGUAACCAAAAAAUAAUGAAAAGCAGUUAUUUUUAAUAUCUUGGAUAUCUGGUUACAGAAAAUGAAAAAAAUAAAAGAAAACAUCAACCACAUAUCGAAGAUGAAAAGAUAAUUCGAUGAGGUUCAAAAGCACUUUCAUAAACCUAUGCAAGUUAGUGCUACAACGGGCACCAACCUAGGUUCCUUUUACAUCUGAACCACUGACCAAUGCAUGCCAUGCCAGGCAUCACCCAGUUUUUUAAGUAUUGACCAAGGGGACAUGCUAUGCACAUAAAAAACCACAUAAAUUAUCAGAUACAUGCCUAAAUGCAGAUGUGAACAUAACUAACGAGUCUUAAUUGAUCAACCAUAUUAGAUCUAAGAUUCUGUUUUUUUGUUUUUUUUUUGUUUUUUGUUAAUGGCAUGAUAAGAAACAAUUCCAUCAAUGUAUGGAUUAACAUUACUGAAGAGUAUUUCAAUUUCAAGCCAUUCCUCAAUUCGUGAUUCUGGUCAUCAAUUUCAUGUCAAGAAGCUUCCAGAGACAUGAUUUUGGCCUACGCUUCCAAUAUCCAACUUCAGAAGUUUCUCCAUUCGACAUAUAUCGAAUACAGAAAAGGAAUCGAACAAAGCUCAUUAGGAAUGUUACAGAAACACAAGUUCGACCAGCACCGAUACUAAUAAAACCCAGAAUUACUGCAGAACGAAGUGGACAAUUACGAAACCGUAUGCGAGGAGCAUCAGAAAUUGUGUACAACAAAAUCAGCGAUAAGAUAGCGGUCAGGGAAUGAACAG
rnacentral:lncRNA from 1 species